rnacentral:rRNA from 1 species
UACGUAGGGGGCAAGCGUUGUCCGGAUUUAUUGGGCGUAAAGAGCGUGUAGGCGGCCAGGUAGGUGGGUUGUGAAAACUGGAGGCUCAACCUUCAGACGUCGACCCAAACCCCCUGGCUAGAGUCCGGAAGAGGAGAGUGGAAUUCCUGGUUUAGCGGUGAAAUGCGCAGAUAUCAGGAAGAACACCCGUGGCGAAGGCGGCUCUCUGGGACGGUACUGACGCUGAGACGCGAAAGCGUGGGGAGCGAACAGG